GGAAUAAAAUGACCGACCGCACUGACUGAGAUAGCCGAAUGCGGUUCCAUGCGAAUGGGCCCUGCAGUCGGUCCUGGAAUAAGGGAACAAAUUGCACGAAAGCCUCUAGCUAUAGAGGCUAGGGAGGGUUCGCCUGAAUCCCCUCGUUCGGUUCUUUCUAUCUACCGAACGAGGGGCCGUUCGGUAGUUAGGAACCGAACGGACCAGGCUUGUGGAGGAUUCAGCGGUGUUCACCUAGUCGAGUGUCCGAUUUGAGUUCCAGACACUCGACGGCAAAACACCGCUGUUCGGGAGUUUUAAAAUGGCCGCCGCCACGUGUUCGUUUGUAGAAUGGCGGCCACCCCCGAGAACAAAGGACGGCUACUUCCC